GAGAAGGAGAACUCCGUGGACAUGGGCCGGUGGUGAACUCUCGCCAGUCUUCUCUGUGGGAUCCAGAAGAUAUUCCCAUGAUGCUAGGAGAGGGCAGACAUGAGCCAUCCUGAAGAAACAUCAAGCACAGCCUCAGGAAUAAACCAUGAAAUCCCUAAGGAUUCAGAAAGAUCUGCAGGAUUCUCAGGCCUGCCUAGAGGUUGCAGGGCCAACCCAGAAAAAGACACUAGCAGCCCUGUUCGCAAGACCUCUUGAAUUUACCUCAAAUUGGGUUCCCAGCCAAGCAGGUGCUUCAUAUCAUAAGGGGACAUUCCUCCAUCGUCUUGAGAUUUCAUCCUGGGACAUAGAGUGUGAGCACAAAUAAGGUCAGAUAGGGGUGAGGAUACAUCUUCACCUGCAAAGAAGAAUGAAGACAGAUGACACAGAAGCUGCUUCCAAUUCCAUCCUCGUAUUUUCUUAAUUGUACAACCAGUCCACACUAUGGACCAUUGUUCAGGUAAGAGUACUCUGGAGUGAUGUAAACACUUGCAGUCCAAAUAGGGAUAACCCUAACAAACACCUGAUUUGAGGGCUUUCAUACCCAGAGCCAAAUGGGAGUGAAAUGAAUUGCAGCUGGGUGGGAUGUGGACCCUACAAUUGCCUCUUCCUGACUUCCAUGUUCGCCUUCGACUAGAGUUUCCUGGGCCUAGCUCAACGACUUCCACAAUAAAUGUUUCCCAGUUCACAGAGAAUGACCUUCAUGGGAAUCCAUUCCAUGAGUAUUUCUUUCUAAACCCUCUUAUGUUUUAAUAACUUGGCAGCUUUGACAAUUUUUAAACUGUAAAUUCCUAUUACAGCCACCAACAAAAAACUCUUAUUCUCCCACUUUUAUUGGAGGGUGCCAUGAUUCCAGCAGGAUAAGAAGAAGGAGGCCGUGUCUGGCUUUUGCCUGGCAAUCUAGCCUCUGUUUCAUUUCAUCUUCACGGCCUUCUCACUGUGGACGUGCUCUUUCAUUGGGCUGUUGCUGGAAAGGACUGCAUCUCCCCAGAGAUUAUUUAGCUGCCAGGGAUUUAGACAUCAAAAGGGACUUCUGGUAGGCUGGCUGCACUCCAGGUUUUGGAUCAUGUUCUCAUUGUGGAGGCUGAAGUAAUUUGCACUUCGCAGGAGGCAUUUGCGUUCUCUCACCAGAAUCAUUGAACCUUGUUGAACUCCAGCACAAGACAGUUUGUUCUCUCAGCCAAGCCAGGGAGAGGCACUAGCAGUCCUGUCUGCAGUGCUUCUUGAAAUUACCUCGAAUUUGGUUUCCAGACAAGCAGGUGCUUCAAGUCAGCGGCACACCUCUGCCUCUUUGGAUUUCAUUCUGCUACAGACAGUGUGAGCAGCAAUAAGGAUUGCCAUCACCCUAGACGACAUCUGAAACACUGUGUGAACACUCAUCUGCAGCUGUGAGAGGCCAGUCCAAGUUACGAGAACACUGUUCCAGCUGGGACUUGCCUUUGUCAGGGUUCCUGACUUUCCCAAAGAGCCCUUGAGAGGCCCAGGAUGAAGGGAGGCUGUGAAGUCAACAUUCCAGCAAUCUUUUGCUGACACCUGCCUCUGGGGUCUCAGGUAUAAUUUUUUCACCCAAAGAACCUUUAACAACAUACCAGACAAUAUUCCAAUUCCCACUACACAGCCUCUUUCCUGAAUAAAGUCAGAAGAGCAGUUUCCAGUG